CUGGCUAGCAGUAGCCGCUGGAGCAUGAGCGGUGUGGAGCUCUCCUUUCCCACCGCCCUGGAUGCAGGACUGACCACUCCCCCUCCCUUUGAAUAGGCGGCCCUGCUGCAAACACUAUAUUUCCAUCCUCUCCAGCUCCAGCGCAGAGGAUAGCACCAGGUAGUUGGAAAGAGAUCGGAGACAAGUGUGGGAAGCCGUGGAAGACAUAAGCUUUUCCCCUGGUCUUUCAGCUAAGUAGCACCUCUGAGAUGAUGAGUUACUAUAUGGACGCAACCAUCGGCAACACAGCCCCUUAUCCUUUGGCUCACCCUGGAGUGAUGAAGCAAGGUGCUGCCAGCCCCUGUGAGGAUCCCUGGGUGACCUGCGGCUUUCAGUCCGCCUGCUGCCAGCCGAGGACGUGCUGCCCGCUCUGGGAUGAGCCUGCCACGCAAGAAGUGCCCACCGGCCUGGAGCACUACA